UGGACAAGACUGACGCUCAGGUGCGAAAGCGUGGGGAGCAAACAGGAUAGAUACCCUGGUAGUCCACGCUGUAAACGAUGUCGAUUUGGAGGUUGUUCCCUUGAGGAGUGGCUUCCGGAGCUAACGCGUUAAAUCGACCGCCUGGGGAGUACGGCCGCAAGGUUAAAACUCAAAUGAAUUGACGGGGGCCCGCACAAGCGGUGGAGCAUGUGGUUUAAUUCGAUGCAACGCGAAGAACCUUACCUACUCUUGACAUCCAGAGAAUUUAGCAGAGAUGCUUUAGUGCCUUCGGGAACUCUGAGACAGGUGCUGCAUGGCUGUCGUCAGCUCGUGUUGUGAAAUGUUGGGUUAAGUCCCGCAACGAGCGCAACCCUUAUCCUUUGUUGCCAGCACAUUAUGGUGGGAACUCAAAGGAGACUGCCGGUGAUAAACCGGAGGAAGGUGGGGAUGACGUCAAGUCAUCAUGGCCCUUACGAGUAGGGCUACACACGUGCUACAAUGGCGUAUACAAAGAGAAACGACCUCGCGAGAGCAAGCGGAACUCAUAAAGUACGUCGUAGUCCGGAUUGGAGUCUGCAACUCGACUCCAUGAAGUCGGAAUCGCUAGUAAUCGUAGAUCAGAAUGCUACGGUGAAUACGUUCCCGGGCCUUGUACACACCGCCCGUCACACCAUGGGAGUGGGUUGCAAAAGAAGUAGGUAGCUUAACCUUCGGGAGGGCGCUUACCACUUUGUGAUUCAUGACUGGGGUGAAGUCGUAACAAGGUAACCA
rnacentral:rRNA from 1 species